UGGUUUAUGACGAUAUAUGUAUACAAAUUUUAGAAAAGUGUAAUGAUUACAAUGUAAAGUAUUUGUAUGUCAAACUUGUGGAACAUGUUUGGAAUCAUGUAGAAACAAAUUGGCUUUUGAUGAUGUUGUAAUAGAUUUCAAUGAUUAGAAUAUUGUUCGAGUACCUCUGAUUAUAACAAAAUCAUGGAAGAAGUUGGUCACAGCACUUGUACAUCAGGAUGUAGAAAUAAUAUUAAUCCUUAAAAAAUCAGUCGUUCUGGAAUUUGAUUUUAAAUACUAUUGUACCUUUUGCAAAUCUGAAUAAAUAUUUUAAAGGAUAAACAAACCAAUAUCACAUCAUCA
rnacentral:lncRNA from 1 species